GACGAACGCUGGCGGCGUGCUUAACACAUGCAAGUCGAGCGAUGAAGCUAGAGCUUGCUCUGGUGAAUUAGUGGCGAACGGGUGAGUAACACGUGAGUAACCUGCCCCGAACUCUGGGAUAACUGCUGGAAACGGUAGCUAAUACUGGAUACGACCUACGAAGGCAUCUUCUGUAGGUGGAAAGAAUUUCGGUUCGGGAUGGACUCGCGGCCUAUCAGCUUGUUGGUGAGGUAAUGGCUCACCAAGGCGACGACGGGUAGCCGGCCUGAGAGGGUGACCGGCCACACUGGGACUGAGACACGGCCCAGACUCCUACGGGAGGCAGCAGGGGGGAAUAUUGCACAAUGGGCGCAAGCCUGAUGCGGCAACGCCGCGUGAGGGAUGACGGCCUUCGGGUUGUAAACCUCUUUUAGUAGGGAAGAAGCGAAAGUGACGGUACCUGCAGAAAAAGCACCGGCUAACUACGUGCCAGCAGCCGCAGUAA
rnacentral:rRNA from 1 species